CCUACGGGAGGCAGCAGUGAGGAAUAUUGGUCAAUGGACGCAAGCCUGAACCAGCCAAGUCGCGUGCAGGAAGACGGCCCUAUGGGUUGUAAACUGCUUUUGUAAGGGGGUAAAGUCAGAUACGUGUAUCUGUCUGAAUGUAUCGUACGAAUAAGGAUCGGCUAACUCCGUGCCAGCAGCCGCGGUAAUAAGGAGGAUUCGAGCGUUAUCCGGAUUUAUUGGGUUUAAAGGGAGCGUAGGUGGUAGGUUAAGUUAGUGGUGAAAUCCCGAGGCUCAACCUCGGAAUUGCAUCUGAUACUGGUCGGCUAGAGAGUAGGUGAGGUAGGCGGAAUGCGUGGUGUAGCGGUGAAAUGCUUAGAUAUCAUGAAGAACACCGAUUGCGAAGGCAGCUUACCAAGCUACUUCUGACGUUGAGGCACGAAAGUGUGGGGAGCAAACAGGAUUAGAUACCCUGGUAGUC
rnacentral:rRNA from 1 species